GACGUAGGGGGCGAGCGUUGUCCGGAUUUAUUGGGCGUAAAGCGUGCGUAGGCGGCUGCGCAAGUCGGGUGUGAAACCCCGGGGCUCAACCCCGGAACUGCAUCCGAUACUGCGUGGCUAGAGGUAGGUAGGGGAGAUCGGAAUUCCUGGUGUAGCGGUGAAAUGCGCAGAUAUCAGGAGGAACACCGGUGGCGAAGGCGAGUCCCUGGACACUUCCUGACACUGAGGCACGAAGGCUAGGGGAGCAAACAGG
rnacentral:rRNA from 1 species